UGCUCUGCUCCCCUCUUCCCCCACUCCACCCUCUUUCUCUCUCUCCAGGCCUGACUCCCCUCUCUCCUAUCCCCCCACUUCCUCCCAAUAAAGCUCUCUGUAACUCUGGUAGUGGCUCCUGACUUUUCUGCUGGUAAGCAGCUCCGCCACCAGCACCAUGCCCCACCACCACACGUCUUUCACCUUUCAUUGGUGAUGCUAAGAGGGACUGGUGUCCGAUUUGAUAUGUUAAAUAGGCACCCCAGUUAGCCAUUUGCCUGAGACCUGACACCCACUUCCCAUGGAAAAGUGGCACCCACGAGAGAGGCAGAACCAAGUUGUUUUUCUUUUUUGAGACAGGGUCACAUGGAGUCCAGAUUGGUCUCAGACUCACUGUGUAUCCCAGAGUGACCUUGGACUUCUGAUCCUCCUGCCUCCUGUCUAGGACUUCCUAAUACUAGGCUAGCACUCUACCACUGAACUGAUCUGGUUUAAGCACUCUACCAACUGAGCUAGUCUGGUUUAAGCACUUUACCAAAUCUGACUCAAACCCCUCAGUGGCUCCUUGGGGCCACUGAGGAGCUCACAGCCUGACACAUGGAGAUCUUUAAUGGCUCCCACCUUUCAUGUGUGUGAUGUUUAAAUGAAAUACUCUUCACCAAAGAGUGAAUUUUUCAUUACAGAAGUUUUAAUUUUCUUUUCUUUUCCUCUCUCUCUCUCUCUCUCUCUCUCUCUCUCUCUCUCUCUCUCUCUCUCUCCAGAGUCUCACUGUGUGGCUCUGGUGGACCUGGUGCUUGCUAUAUAGACCAGCUGAGCUUAAACUCACAGAGAUCCACCUGCUUCUGCCUCCUGAGUUUGUGGAAGUAUUUCAGUAGCACACUUUAGCCUUUUCUUGUAACAUUCUAACCCAUCUAUGAUCUAGUAAGGUCUGCAAAGCCAGCGGAUACCUCCUUAUUAACUACCCAUACUCAGCCUUGUCUCUUGUCUCUAGGCACAAACCCUACUCCCUUCUUUCUAGGUCCUCUGAGACCCAGCCCUCCCUCUCCAUCACCUGGAGCCUUGAGGGCCUGGUUCCCCAGCCACUGGUUUUCAUUCCCACAGGACCCUCCCCAUUCUCCAUUCCAGCUUCCUGUCCACACAGGUUAGGGUCCACACCUGUGCAGGCCCAAGGCUGAGAGUGGAGAGUCGAUUCCUGUUCUGCAGUAGAGGGAUUCCCAAUUCUGCUCUGUUCCUUUCUCUGUGCUGAGAUUUCAAAAGACAGAAAGAACUCCUUGUCUGUUUGCCUCACAAUUUUUGUCCUUAGGACCUGGCCCCGGGACCAAGAUGCCCCUGUGCUCAAAGGCAAUGCAUCAGUAUUUGAAAUUAGCCAUUAUCCUCAGCAAAUCAGAAAGUACCAAAGAAAAAGCAGGGAAGUCAUUCUGUCACGGAGCGCAGCCUAGCAGGCUUGCAGUGCAUCUCCUGUGCUCCACACAGGCAAGGCUCCGUCCAUGCCAACUUCUGUGUUAAAAUGAACCUGCCCCCCACCUAACUGCUGGCCCCCUAAAGGAAACCAAUUAUCGAGCCCUUUCCCUGUGUGUCUGUGAUCACCACAGAAAUAUCACCAGUGGCCAGUGCCAGCAGGAUUAGCUCUGCAAAGCAUUUUAAAGUUUAGCUAGAAAGCCUCUGAAAAUGUCAACAGCGCCACUCCGUCUCCUGCAAACCAGUGUUCCAAUCAGCAGGGCUGCCUUUUCCAGCUCGUGGAUCAGUGGCAUUUUAAAAAGUCCCCACAUAAUCGCUUCUCUGGGAGAAAAAUACCAAAAGGCAGAGAGGAGAGGCAACAAUAGUCACAGCUUCCAACCACACACGGCCUGGCCUGCAGUACUUCCUGCCUCCAGGUGCCACACUGCCUCCAGGCUGCACAUCCAGACUGAGCGAGGCUCCUGGGAGUCACUCAGCUUCAUUGGAGACCUGGCCUGGAGACACUUUCCACAGCACCUCUGUGAGCUGCUUUUCUUGAUGCUGUGACCUGACCACAACUUAAGGAACUUGAGAGUGUCGUCCAUCAUGAUGGGGAAGACAUGGCUGGAAGAGUCUAAUGAAGAGCCCAGGAAGAGGAAAAAUGGUACGCCUGUAGCCUGAUAAUGGCCUUAAAACAAGUUACCUGACCCUUCGCCCUACAGUCUCCCAGUUAGAACAGACCCAGGCUAUGUAAACAUCUUGAACUAACACCCUGUAAUCAGAGAUUAUAAAUCAUCACACCAAGGGUGAACUCCACAGGGGUGGUAGAGUCUAACCCUGGGAAUGCAUUCCCGAGGAACUGUAAAUCCCGAUAUAUGCUCUCUGCCCUGUGUAUAAUCGUUGGCCAUAAAAGGAUGCUUAUAGGCCCUCAUCAGGGUCACAGAGUCAAAUAACUCUCUGUGGUCCUAACGAGUUAGAAGUUUUUUUGUCUCCCCACCUCCGAGUGUUUCUAAUAAAGUUGCUUCUGGUUAAUAGA